rnacentral:lncRNA from 1 species
AACUGCCCUCAAUCCACCCGCGGUGUUUACCGGGACUCGGGGCGGCGGCGACUUCUCAGUCCCUCGACUAAGAUGGCAGCCGGUCCCGAGCCCCGACUACAGCGACUAGGGCAAGUAAGCGGCCAAUGCGCAGGCGCCUCCACUCGGCCGCGGUUCAGACUACAAGCCCCAGCAGGCCUCGCGCGCCGACCAGCUAAAUCCGAGUUUUCCUCCGCUUCAGCCCCAAUAUGUGUGAAGUGAUAAAACCCGAACCAGUGCCACAAGACCAGCUCAUUUCACUCGGUGACUGACCCAGCUCGACGGCAACCUGCCAGACAAGAUCUCAGAUGAGGCCGAGACAUCAGAUGCCCGCCCAGUGUGGACCCGUGGAUUGAGGAGGAGGCAACCGGAUCGACAACCACAAUCACCAGGAAAGGAGAAACAAAGUCGUGCUCCUCGGACUUGUGCAGGAUAUGUACGUCAGCCUGGACAGAAUCCAGCCUUGCUAGGCAGAGCAGAGACUGGAAGCCCAAAGGAGCCUGCCACUAACACUAGCAAGGGAAGGAGUUUCCCAGACUACUUGGAAGAGGAAAGAUGGAAGGAAGAUGGCUGCAGAGCGGGAAGGAGUUGGGAGAGAGACCCAAGCAGCCCACUUGCCGUCUGUCACUUACCCGCUUUCCUAGCAGAGAGAUUAGUCAUGCUCUGUCCCCUUCUUUUCUGGAACUGCUCUGCUUUCCAUUGCCAGAGGCAGGAAAAAGCUGAAAAAGCUUGAUGUUUAUGGAGACACUGUAUGGGGCUUCAGAGAGACUGAGACCUGUCCUAAGACCUGAGUCUCCAUUAGUUCCCCUCUUUGAGGGUGUGUCCUCAUCUGCAAA